rnacentral:rRNA from 1 species
UAGGGAAUCUUCCACAAUGGGCGCAAGCCUGAUGGAGCAACGCCGCGUGAGUGAAGAAGGUCUUCGGAUCGUAAAACUCUGUUGUUAGAGAAGAACAUGCAGGAGAGUAACUGUUCUUGUAUUGACGGUAUCUAACCGGAAAGCCACGGGCUAACUACGUGCCG